rnacentral:lncRNA from 10 species
CAUUUCUAAAUGACUUGAAGCUCUGUCACGGCAUAAUCUCUUAUAAAUAAAUGUCAGUGUAGUCACUGAAUGCAGACUGGAUUUUUGCCUGACUACGGUGCUCAGCCUUCUAGACAAUAGUUAUGCUAAGGGAUUAUCUUUUAACAUUGUGCAGUUAUCUCCUUUGUUUGUUUUCUUUUUUCAUUAUUCACAUAAGCCAAGGGAAAUGAAAAGCAUCUUAUUUCAGGCAAAAAGGCCUGUGAAUGAUUAACUCUGGUUCCAUGCGUUGGGACUUUGCAUAGCAACCCCGUGGCUUGCAACGACAAAAAAGCUCAAGGCAGGAACAGCAGCCCAGGGACCUGAGACCAGCGUUCUCAAAUGAAGGUGCCAGAUCUGCUGUUAGAGGAGAAUUCUUCUGUCCUAGCUGUGUCUCUGUGAUCUGUGGAUGAGGGUGGGAAAGCACCACUCAGUCAAUUGGGGUGUACAAAAUGGAGUUUGAGAAGGUCUCACAUCCAGGUUGUUUUGAAGCAAAGUCCAAGCAUUGUAUCACUUCAUCUGCAAAUAUUUCAAUAAGUACCCAAAAGUGGUUGGACUGAGUCCCAUGAAGCCAGAUCACUUCUGACUGCAAGGAGCUUGGAAAAGCAAGUAUCUGGAUCUUUUACCAGCUAAAUUUGGAGCGAUGAGGCUUCCUCUUUGAAGAUCACAGGUGAGAAGAUUAGGUGCUUUCUCAGAAGCCCAGCAACCUGAUGGGAGUGUGGAGUGAGCAAGACCCAAAUCGGAGCUUCAUCCCUGCAUGGUUCAUUUUGCUUAUUUGGCAAACUUGCCCUGCAGAAUCUACUCAAGCUUCCUCAGUUUCUCAAAUCAUUCUUGGGCAACAAAUGAACAAGAAAGAGGACGUCUUAUUAUCUGGUGUCUGGCUUGCUGAUUUAAUAACCUAGGAGACAGUGUUUGAAGAACACAAACUCUAAAGUCCUUCACUUAAAAAAAAAAAAAAACUUUCCCAAAUUGCUUACCAUUUGGAAAAAUUGCCUUACCUUCUUCAGUCAUCUCUGAUGUUGUCAUCCUCAGAGUAAGAAGUACGCAUUCAUAAGGAACCAUAACGUCCUUCAGGAAAUCCAGUACACCCUACAAUUUUACCUAAAACUUUGAUGUUGUUUUUUCUGAGCAUUUUACCUUCUAGGGAAAUGGAUCUCAUGCUGUUUAUCAGUUUCUGAAAGUUGUUAUUAAUCUCCCCUCAUCCCAAAAUUGAAGAACUUUGCUUAAAUCUUAGAAUCAGAACUUUGGCUCCAGUAAUAAAGACUUUUCAAUAUCUUUAUCUGCCAUUGAGUCUUACCUAACGAAAUAAAGCCUCCAAAGUGGGAAUUUGAAAUGUUUUAGAAUCUUUUUUUUUCCUUUUGACAUAGUGAUUGGUGGGAUGCUACAGGCAGUUAGUGGUUAGGGUCCAGAAAUGCCAGACAUCUUGCAGUGAGAGGGAUAGUCUGUACAAGGAAGAAUUCUCACAUGUUCUGACUAACACUGGAUAUUAUUACAGGUGAAAACAUUGGAAUCUUGUGAACCUCAACCUGUGUUUUACAUAUGUAUACAUGAAGCAUCCAAUGGCAUUACACCUCAGCCAGAGAAGAAGCUCUUAAGAGAUCAGGUGCCUCAUUUCACCCAUGGGCUGCUCCAGCAUUUCCAGCCUCCUCACUCCUGACACAUACAGAUUGAGAAAUUAAGGUCGCAUCAUAUAAGUGAAGUUGAACACUACUUUUCUAAUACCCUACAUCAGGUACGUUCCUAAAUAAACUGGAACUUACCUCAGAAGCCUCAGAAAAUUAGGAAAAUAAAAUGCAUUACUUUGUAUAUUAAGAAGCUCAAAAUCCCAUAUUUGAUUCACUAUAGAAUUACUUCAGAAUCUCAUAUGUUGUUUAAGCAAAACCUGUCUCAUAUUAAAACAUACCUACUGCUGUGUUGUCUAUUUGCUUUUCUCUUUUUAAAUGCCCUUUUGAGAAAUGCUGCAAAAAUUUUGUCCUGACAUGUGGGGGCCCAACUGUUUCCUGCUAUACUCAGCUUGGAGGACAUAGCCUCUAGGUUAUACUCUUUUGAAAUUGUCCUGUUGAAAUGCAUGUUUUGAUUUUGGGAUUUUCCAGAUGCUUCCUAAGUAGGUCCCAUGUGUUAAAACUUGUGGAAAUUCAGCAUGUUUCUCAAUGUGAGGCAUCUAAGUAGUUCACAAAUUUAAGGCAAUUAGUCUAUUACUGGGAUAAGACGAUUAAUUCUAUUAUAUUCCAUUGUUUACAUAUUACUUGUUUAAUCCAUUUCCUAUUCUAUGCUUUGUUUUUUCAUUUGUCUGAAUUAUUAAAAGUCACUACAUUUUAACAUUUUAAGCAAUUUAAUUUUUAUAUAUAAUUAUAUCCUUUGGCUAUUUAAACUGAAGACACAUUGUAUAUGUAAAUCAAAUUAAGAAAAAUAAAUGGAGAGUGUGUUCACUUACAACAGGAGGCUAUCGCUGUGCUAAAACUUUCUGCUGCUUUUGAGUCUUGGAAUUGUGGAAUCACAUAAUAUUUAAAAAAAUUAGAAAGAACUUUAAAUACCAUGUCCACAGACUUUCUCACUUUUCCAAUGAGAAAACUGAGACCAAGAAUGUUUAACAGACAGGUAAUGCCUGAAUUAGUCCUAGAAUCCAGAUUUCCUUAUUAUUUACAUGAAGUCCAGAAACAUACCAUAUGUAUUAAAUACAAUGGUUUCAAACAUUAAUGAAGUUUGAUUCUGAAAUGUGGGAGGGUUCAUAUAAGUCUAAAAUUUUAGUCUGCUUAAGUAUCCAAGUUUCUUGUUGUCUUAAAAUUUCUUAUUGGAGGAAGCCACUUUUCAGUCACUUUGAUAGGCAC